rnacentral:rRNA from 1 species
AGUGAACGCUGGCGGCGUGCUUAACACAUGCAAGUCGAACGAGAACGGAAUAUAGCUUGCUAUAUUUGUCAGCUAAGUGGCGCACGGGUGAGUAAUGUAUAGAUAACAUGCCCUUAAGAAAGGAAUAACAGUUGGAAACGACUGCUAAUGCCCUAUAUGCCUUUAAUACAUAAGUAUGCAAGGGAAACGCUUUAGUGCUUAAGGAUGGGUCUGUAUGGUAUCAGCUUGUUGAUGAGGUAAUGGCUCACCAAGGCUAUGACGCCUAACUGGUUUGAGAGUAUGAUCAGUCAUACUGGAACUGAGACACUGUCCAGACUCCUACGGGAGGCAGCAGUGGGGAAUAUUGCACAAUGGACGAAAGUCGGAUGCAGCAACGCCGCGUGGAGGAUGACACAUUUCGGUGCGUAAACUCCUUUUAUAUAGGAAGAUAAUGACGGUACUAUAUGAAGAAGCACCGGCUAACUCCGUGCCAGCCGCCGCCGUAA